GCCUCAGUAACGGCGAGUGAAGCGGCAACAGCUCAAAUUUGAAAUCUGGGGCCUUCGGCUUCCGAGUUGUAAUUUGAAGAGGAUGUUUCGGUGCGACCUGGGCCUAAGUUCCUUGGAACAGGACGUCAUGGAGGGUGAGAAUCCCGUACAUGGCUGCAGGUUUGCUUCUAUGUGAAACUCCUUCGAAGAGUCGAGUUGUUUGGGAAUGCAGCUCAAAAUGGGUGGUAAAUUUCAUCUAAAGCUAAAUAUUGGCGGGAGACCGAUAGCGCACAAGUAGAGUGAUCGAAAGAUGAAAAGCACUUUGAAAAGAGAGUUAAACAGUACGUGAAAUUGUUGAAAGGGAAGCGCUUGCAAUCAGACUCGCCUUCAGUUGAUCAGCCUUCCUUCUGGUUGGUGCACUCUGCUGUUGGCGGGCCAGCAUCAGUUGGGGCGGUGGGACAAAGGCGGCAGGAAUGUGGCUCGCUUCGGUGAGUGUUAUAGCCUGCUGUGUCAUGCCACCAGUCCCGACUGAGGUCCGCGGUUCGCCUAGGAUGCUGGCUUAAUGGUUGUAAGCGACCCGUCUUGAAACACGGACCAAGGAGUCUAACAUCUAUGCGAGU
rnacentral:rRNA from 1 species